CCUACGGGAGGCAGCAGUGGGGAAUAUUGGGCAAUGGGCGCAAGCCUGACCCAGCAACGCCGCGUGAAGGAAGAAGGCCCUCGGGUUGUAAACUUCUUUUAACAGGGACGAAGAAAGUGACGGUACCUGUUGAAUAAGCCACGGCUAACUACGUGCCAGCAGCCGCGGUAAUACGGAGGGUGCGAGCGUUAAUCGGAAUUACUGGGCGUAAAGCGCUCGUAGGCGGUAUGUCAAGUCAAGGGUGAAAUCCCCGCGCUCAACGUGGGAACUGCCUUUGAAACUGGCAAACUGGAGUGUGUGAGAGGAUAGUGGAAUGCCAGGUGUAGGAGUGAAAUCCGUAGAUAUCUGGAGGAACAUCAGUGGCGAAGGCGACUAUCUGGCACAUAACUGACGCUGAGGAGCGAAAGCGUGGGUAGCAAACAGGAUUAGAUACCCUAGUAGUC
rnacentral:rRNA from 1 species